UGGCAUGGACUUCMGGUGCUUCUGUGAUGCGCUCUCAAAGAGUCGAGUUGUUUGGGAAUGCAGCUCAAAAUGGGUGGUGAACUCCAUCUAAAGCUAAAUAUUGGCGAGAGACCGAUAGCGAACAAGUACCGUGAGGGAAAGAUGAAAAGCACUUUGGAAAGAGAGUGAAACAGUACGUGAAAUUGUUGAAAGGGAAACGCUUGAAGUCAGUCGCGUCGACCGAGACUCAGCCUCGCCUUGGCUUGGUGUACUUCUCGGCUGACGGGCCAGCAUUGAUUUCGUCCCUCGGAUAAUGGCGAGAGAAAGGUGGCACCCCUCGUGGGUGUGUUAUAGUCUCCUGUCGCAUACGAGGGAUGGGAUCGAGGACCUCAGCAUGCACCUCUCGGUGCCGGGGCUUUGGCCCACGAUACGUGCUUAGGAUGUUGGCGUAAUGGCUUUAAACGACCCGUCUUGAAACACGGACCAAGGAGUCUAACAUGCCCGCGAGUGUUCGGGUGGAAAACCCGUGCGCGAAAUGAAAGUGAAAAGUUGGGACCUCUGUCGUGGAGGGCACCGACGCCCGGACCAGACCUUCUGUGACGGAUCUGCGGUAGA
rnacentral:rRNA from 2 species